ACAGAGGGUGCGAGCGUUAAUCGGAAUGACUGGGCGUAAAGGGCGCGUAGGUGGAUGUGUGUGUUGGAUGUGAAAGCCCCGGGCUCAACCUGGGAAUUGCAUACAAAACUGCACAUCUAGAGUAGAGCAGAGGUAAGUGGAAUUUCCGGAGUAGCGGUGAAAUGCGUAGAUACCGGAAGGAACACCAGUGGCGAAGGCGACUUACUGGGCUCAAACUGACACUGAGGCGCGAAAGCGUGGGGAGCAAACAGG
rnacentral:rRNA from 1 species